GUUUGGGAGGAGUUUACGAACUCCGCGUGGUGAAGGAUAGUGUCAAGAAAAGCUCGUAAUGUGAUGAAAACAUAGUACCCGUACCCGAAACCGACACAGGUAGGGAGGUUGAGAAUACCAAGGGGCGCGAGAUAACUCUCUCUAAGGAACUCGGCAAAAUGGCCCCGUAAUUUCGGGAGAAGGGGUGCCCACCUCAGACGUGGGUCGCAGUGAAGAGAUCCAGGCGACUGCUUACCAAAAACACAGGUCUCCGCCAACUCGAAAGAGGACGUAUGGGGGCUGACGCCUGCCCAGUGCCGGAAGGUUAAGGAAGUUGGUCAGGGGUUCGCCUUGAAGCUGACGACCGAAGCCCCGGUGAACGGCGGCCGUAACUAUAACGGUCCUAAGGUAGCGAAAUUCCUUGUCGGGUAAGUUCCGACCCGCACGAAAGGCGUAACGAUCUGGAUGGUGUCUCAGAGAGAGACUCGGCGAAAUAGGAAUGUCUGUGAAGAUACGGACUGCCUGCACCUGGACAGAAAGACCCUAUGAAGCUUUACUGUAGCCUGGAAUUGUGUUCGGGCUUCGCUUGCGCAGGAUAGGUGGGAAGCGAAGAAGUAUCCCUUGUGGGGGAUAUGGAGCUAACGGUGAGAUACCACUCUGGCGAAGCUAGAAUUCUAACCCAUGACCGUAAGCCGGUCAGGGAACAGUUUCAGGUGGGCAGUUUGACUGGGGCGGUCGCCUCCUAAAAAGUAACGGAGGCGCGCAAAGGUUCUCUCAGCACGCUUGGAAACCGUGCGGCGAGUGUAAAGGCAAAAGAGAGCUUGACUGCGAGAGAUACAACUCAAGCAGGGACGAAAGUCGGCCUUAGUGAUCCGACGGCACAGCAUGGAAUGGCCGUCGCUCAACGGAUAAAAGUUACUCUAGGGAUAACAGGCUGAUCUCCCCCAAGAGUCCACAUCGACGGGGAGGUUUGGCACCUCGAUGUCGGCUCAUCGCAACCUGGGGCGGAAGUACGUCCCAAGGGUUGGGCUGUUCGCCCAUUAAAGCGGUACGUGAGCUGGGUUCAGAACGUCGAGAGACAGUUCGGUCCAUAUCCGGUGCAGGCGCAAGAGCAUUGAGAGGAGCCUUCCUUAGUACGAGAGGACCGGGAAGGACGCACCGCUGGUGUACCAGUUAUCGUACCAACGGUAAACGCUGGGUAGCCAAGUGCGGAGCGGAUAACCGCUGAAAGCAUCUAAGUGGGAAGCCCACCUCAAGAUGAGUGCUCUCACUACAUAAGUAGGUAAGGUCACGGGCAGAACACCCGUUUAUAGGCUCUAAGUGGAAGUACAGUAAUGUAUGAAGCUGAGGUGUACUAACAGACCGAGGGC
rnacentral:rRNA from 1 species